rnacentral:rRNA from 1 species
GUGGGGAAUAUUGGACAAUGGUCGAAAGCCUGAUCCAGCCAUGCCGCGUGUGUGAAGAAGGUCUUCGGAUUGUAAAGCACUUUAAGUUGGGAGGAAGGGCAGUAAGUUAAUACCUUGCUGUUUUGACGUUACCGACAGAAUAAGCAUCGGCUAACUUCGUGCCAGCAGCCGCGGUAAUACGAAGGGUGCAAGCGUUAAUCGGAAUUACUGGGCGUAAAGCGCGCGUAGGUGGUUUUGUAAGUUGGAGGUGAAAUCCACGGGCUCAACCUGGGAACUGCCUCCAAAGCUGCAUGACUAGAGUACGAUAGAGGGUAGUAAUGUUUCCUGUGUAGCGGUGAAAUACGUAGAUAUAGGAAGGAACACCAGUGGCGAAGGCGACUACCUGGACUGAUACUGACACUGAGGUGCGAAAGCGUGGGGAGCAAACAGGAUUAGAAACCCGUGUAGUCC